rnacentral:rRNA from 1 species
AUUGAACGCUGGCGGCAGGCUUAACACAUGCAAGUCGAGCGCCCCGCAAGGGGAGCGGCAGACGGGUGAGUAACGCGUGGAAACGUACCCUUUGCUACGGAAUAGCUCCGGGAAACUGGAAUUAAUACCGUAUGUGCCCUACGGGGGAAAGAUUUAUCGGCAAAGGAUCGGCCCGCGUUGGAUUAGCUAGUUGGUGAGGUAAUGGCUCACCAAGGCGACGAUCUCUAGCUGGUUUGAGAGGAUGAUCAGCCACACUGGGACUGAGACACGGCCCAGACUCCUACGGGAGGCAGCAGUGGGGAAUAUUGGACAAUGGGCGCAAGCUUGAUCCAGCCAUGCCGCGUGAGUGAUGAAGGCCUUAGGGUUGUAAAGCUCUUUCGCCGGUGAAGAUAAUGACGGUAACCGGAGAAGAAGCCCCGGCUAACUUCGUGCCAGCCGCCGCAGUAACAC